rnacentral:rRNA from 1 species
GAUGAACGCUGGCGGUAUGCUUAACACAUGCAAGUCGAACGGACUCUUCGGAGUUAGUGGCGGACGGGUGAGUAACGCGUGAGAAUCUGGCUUUGGGUUCGGGACAACCACUGGAAACGGUGGCUAAUACCGGAUGUGCCGAGAGGUAAAAGAGAAAUUGCCUGAAGAUGAGCUCGCGUCUGAUUAGCUAGUUGGUGAGGUAAAGGCUCACCAAGGCAGCGAUCAGUAGCUGGUCUGAGAGGAUGACCAGCCACACUGGGACUGAGACACGGCCCAGACUGCUACGGGAGGCAGCAGUGGGGAAUUUUCCGCAAUGGGCGAAAGCCUGACGGAGCAAUACCGCGUGAGGGAAGAAGGCUCUUGGGUUGUAAACCUCUUUUCUUAGGGAAGAACAAAAUGACGGUACCUAAGGAAUCAGCAUCGGCUAACUCCGUG